GUAGCUCAGUGGUAGAACAUCUGCCUUGAAUGCAGAGGAUCCCAGGUUUAAUCCCUGGUAUCGCCA